UCAAUCUUUGGCUCCUCUUCGUCAUGCAUAGCAGCCGUCCCAGCUCCACUCCUCCACCCAUCAUUGUUCAUUGCUCAAAAGGAGGAGCACGGCUGUAGCCAUUGCUCCCUCUGUACUCAUUGGUUAUGAACAAGCAGAGUAUGAGAACACCCAUAUCUUCUUCCUGAUUUGCCUUCUCUCCUUCUCUCUUUUGAUUUUAUUAUCCCCAUAAUUGCUGUUUUUUGUUUGUACAGAUGCUUUUUUAAUCCAUGCCUAUGAGGUGCUUGAUGAAACUUCCAGCUGGGCUAGCUUGGAGAUUGAGGCACUGAUAUGCGGAUCGCGGCCUGCAGCGUGGCCAUGUUUGGCCACACGAAGUGCAUUGUCGAUGGCUGCGUCGACUAGGGCAGUCUGCGGAUUUAGAAGGAGCUCCUCACAUGUGCUAAGAUUAUGUCACUGGGGAUAAAAUGGAAGCAGUAGCAUAUGGGCAGCAAGCACAUCGUUACAACAAUGAGCUGUGGGCCGUGGGUGGAGAGGGCUGGUGCCGUGGGAUUCUGGCUAAACAGGACUUGAGAGAUAGGGAAGAGAAUAACAGAGAGAUGAUGAGAGAGUGGUGCAACGACGCUGCGCUACUGAUAUGUGGUGCUACUGCUAUGUUUUUCAUGACCAGAUUGUAGUUUUAUUUCAGUUGCUACUACUGCUACACGGCGAUUUUAUUUCAGCUGUCAAAUUUUAUCUAGACUAUGCCUGCCAUUCUUCA